GCUUAAAUAUUGGGUGGUUCAGAAUAUACAGUUCUGGUGCGCAACUGUCUUCGCACGCGAGUUGCAGCCAGCAAGGACAAGCAAACUAAACUCAUACUGUGAAGUGAUAGAAGUCAAGGAUUCUUUGAGGUCAUGUAGCUUGUACAACAAGUACUAGAAGAAAGAACAAUGAAUCACCUACAAGAUCAAGCACAUGGAAACAGAUAACACUUAAAGACAGGAUGAUGAUGAUGCCAGAAGAAUGAAGAAAUUUAUUGUUUGAAAUAAAGUGAAUUAAAUCUUCUACCGAUGUGAAGAGGAAAAUCGCGCUAAGGAAAGAGAUGUGUGCGUAGAAAAUAGUUGAUUGAAAGAUCUGUGCUUUUAAAAGGGCUAACCAUAAUUUGCGAAAAAAAAAACUAAGUCUUUUGGCGGGCAAAUUUUUCCUUGAAAAUAAAGG